rnacentral:rRNA from 1 species
UACGUAGGGUGCAAGCGUUGUCCGGAAUUAUUGGGCGUAAAGAGCUCGUAGGCGGUCUGUUGCGUCGGCUGUGAAAACCCGGGGCUCAACCCCGGGCCUGCAGCCGAUACGGGCAGACUAGAGUUCGGCAGGGGAGACUGGAAUUCCUGGUGUAGCGGUGAAAUGCGCAGAUAUCAGGAGGAACACCGGUGGCGAAGGCGGGACUCUGGGCCGAUACUGACGCUGAGGAGCGAAAGCGUGGGGAGCGAACAGG